UACGUAGGCAGCGAGCGUUGUUCGGAGUUACUGGGCGUAAAGGGUGCGUAGGCGGUUUUCCAAGUUUGGUGUGAAAUCUCCCGGCUUAACUGGGAGGGUGCGCCGAAAACUAGGAGACUUGAGUACCGGAGAGGUAAGCGGAAUUCCUGGUGUAGCGGUGAAAUGCGUAGAGAUCAGGAGGAACACCUGUGGUGUAGACAGCUUACUGGACGGUCACUGACGCUGAGGCACGAAAGCGUGGGUAGCAAACAGG
rnacentral:rRNA from 1 species